rnacentral:rRNA from 1 species
AUUGAACGCUGGCGGCAGGCCUAACACAUGCAAGUCGGACGGUAGCACAGAGAGCUUGCUCUCGGGUGACGAGUGGCGGACGGGUGAGUAAUGUCUGGGAAACUGCCCGAUGGAGGGGGAUAACUACUGGAAACGGUAGCUAAUACCGCAUAACGUCGCAAGACCAAAGUGGGGGACCUUCGGGCCUCACACCAUCGGAUGUGCCCAGAUGGGAUUAGCUAGUAGGUGGGGUAAUGGCUCACCUAGGCGACGAUCCCUAGCUGGUCUGAGAGGAUGACCAGCCACACUGGAACUGAGACACGGUCCAGACUCCUACGGGAGGCAGCAGUGGGGAAUAUUGCACAAUGGGCGCAAGCCUGAUGCAGCCAUGCCGCGUGUAUGAAGAAGGCCUUCGGGUUGUAAAGUACUUUCAGCGGGGAGGAAGGCGGUGAAGUUAAUAACUUCACCGAUUGACGUUACCCGCAGAAGAAGCACCGGCUAACUCCGUGCCAGCCGCCGCUGUAA